rnacentral:misc_RNA from 1 species
UACGUAGGUGGCAAGCGUUGUCCGGAAUUACUGGGCGUAAAGGGCGUGUAGGCGGCUUUUUAAGUCAGACGUGAAAUCUCUGGGCUUAACCCAGAAAUUGCGUUUGAAACUGGAAGGCUUGAGGAUCGGAGAGGGUAGUGGAAUUCCCAGUGUAGCGGUGAAAUGCGUAGAUAUUGGGAGGAACACCAGUGGCGAAGGCGACUGCCUGGACGACACGUGACGCUGAGGCGCGAAAGCCAGGGGAGCAAACGGG